GACGAACGCUGGCGGCGUGCUUAACACAUGCUAGUCGAACGGAAAGGCCCUGCUUUUGUGGGGUGCUCGAGUGGCGAACGGGUGAGUAACACGUGAGUAACCUGCCCUUGACUUUGGGAUAUCUUCAGGAAACUGGGGCUAAUACCGGAUAGGAGCUCCUGCUGCAUGGUGGGGGUUGGAAAGUUUCGGCGGUUGGGGAUGGACUCGCGGCUUAUCAGCUUGUUGGUGGGGUAGUGGCUUACCAAGGCUUUGACGGGUAGCCGGCCUGAGAGGGUGACCGGCCACAUUGGGACUGAGAUACGGCCCAGACUCCUACGGGAGGCAGCAGUGGGGAAUAUUGCACAAUGGGCGGAAGCCUGAUGCAGCAACGCCGCGUGCGGGAUGACGGCCUUCGGGUUGUAAACCGCUUUCGCCUGUGACGAAGCGUGAGUGACGGUAAUGGGUAAAGAAGCACCGGCUAACUACGUG
rnacentral:rRNA from 1 species